CUUCUUCUCUAUUUCCUUUUUCUUUACUUUUAUUAAUUUUAAUCUUUUGAUUUCUUUUUAUUUUAUGUUCCUCCCUGUUUCACCAUUGUAGUAGCUCUUCUUCCUCUUUUCUUUUUGCCCUUUUUUUGGUUUUGACUGUAUUUGUGCUUGGCCGUAUGAGUGUUGUGUAGUGCAUGUAUAUUUUUAUUCCUCACUUUUUUAGAGUUUGUCCAUUUUGUGUGGUGUGAGUUCUCUGUUUUCAGAGUUGUUUUGUGUAAUCUUUUUUUUUGUUAUUGCAAUUUCUAUAUUUGUAAUCGUAUGUAUAUGCAUGUUGGUUCCCUAUUCUUUUUUAAUAAUAUCUUGCUAGAUUUUUUACAUGCAUGUAAGUAAUUGUUCCUGAUUUAUACAUUACUUGUGUCAAUUUGAAGAUUUUUUUCGUUAUUAUCAAUUACUAAUUUGGAGCGGACUAUGCACCCAAGCAGGGGUGUAUGUAACAAGGGUUCAAUUGAACUCAUAAUUUUCGAUACGGAAUACAAAUGUAUACGCAAAAAAUCACUAAAAUUGUAAUAAAUUAUGUAUAUGAACUCAUAACUUUAAGAAUAUAAUGAGUUAAGUAGCAAGAACCUUAAAGGUUGAAUACAUAGAGUUUCUGGAUCCGCCUUUGCACCCAAGAUGCUUGAUGAUAUGUUUGCAAGAGGUGAAUCUGGACUUUAAUUUUCUGUUAGGUUUCUUUGCUCAUGAUUAUGUGUUGCUUUCGCGAUGGAAUGAAAAUUACUUUUCAUUUGGUAUAGUUUCUCGCAUCCUUUAUUAACCUGUGAAGUAAUCCUUGUUAGACAGGAGAGUCCAUGAAGAUACGAUGUUGCUCAAAUAUCAUUCUGAAUCAAGAAUUUAGAAGGCUUCAACACUGAUACCUUUAAUCUCAUGGUUGCAGGAAAUUAUAUUGUAUUUGGUUUAGUUACUGGUAUCCAUUAAUGUUCUGUGUCCAUAUAUAAUUUAAAAUGAUGUUAAAACAGUUGGAUAGCUACUAAAACAAAUGUAAAAUUUGAUUUGAUACAAAGAGCUGUACAUGAUAAACAUACACAUACACACGCACAUAUAUAGUUGAAGAAAAAGGUUGCUCUUUCAUCCAACAAUAUGUCUCUAUUUUAAAUUCUAUUAAGUUGUUGUAUAGUUAGAUGGCUACACUUCACAUGACAGAAAAGAAGGUUAAUAUCGAUGUAGUUGAUUAAAUGAUGAGAUUCUUCUGAACGUUUGAUAGUUAUGGUUCUGUGUAUCGAUACUAAAUUGAGUUCAGGAUGAGUAUUACAAUACAAUGGCGAAUAACUCAUUGUAUCAAUCGGUGUUUUCAGAACCUAAAGUUGCAAUACAACAUGAACUGUAGCAAAGCAUUAAAGUUGAAUUAUUCAGCCAAUGACAAAGUCAGGAACAGAAGAAGAUGGUGGCUUGCUCAAGCUCAAAUUCAGGAGCUCAGGUUGGCAAGCUAUUUGGAGUGCUGACACUUUUGAAAGUUAAAUUUCUUCAUCAAUGGAUCCUAAGGAAAAAAGAAAACAUCGUUGCUUAACUACAGAAGCUCAUGAUAACAAUACCAAACGCGCUAUAGCUGAAAAAACGCACUUUUGUUGCAACGCCGCGUCAAAAAAGAGAGGCAACCACUAAUCAGUCUUAUUGCAAAUACAAAUUGGGUCAAUCCUGUCGAGUCAACAUCUGUAACUCAGUGUAAUGUUAUUACUGGAGACUCUUGUUCUACUUCAAAAACAGGUGACUUCAAGCUGCAGCUGAGGAUAAGAUAGUCAUAUCUACUGGGAAAGAGAUGUUCGUGCCAAAGGAUCCCAAUGUCACCAUUAUAAUGCUAAGUCUUAAUUGUAUUUGCAUUAUGCUUUAACACGCAUUCUUCCAUCUUCUAAUCUAACUAAGCAUUUUUUUCAAAUUUGAACUUUUACAUGCAGUCCGACGUUGGAGCUAGAAUUUCUCCUUUACGUAAAAAAUUAUUUGAGAAACAUGAAAGAGUAUGUGUACAACCUCAAAUCAUUUGUAUCUCAUGUUCUUAAUUUUAUUGGCUUCAUUGCCAUAGCAGGGACAUGGAAAGAAUUAAAUGAAAAGGCUUGGUUUGAGUUUAAUUAAAAUCUGGUAGCACUUAUGAACUAAGGGGUCGUUUGGUAGCCGGUUAGAGAGGAAUUAUUCAUGUAUUAAAACUAGGAUAAUUUUAUGCAUUGUUUGAUUAAAAGAAGGAGAAAAAAUAAUCUCCACAUAGAAGCUAGCAUAAGUUAUACAAUGUUUGGUUGUUUUUUCCUCUUUUCCACAUAAGGCUCAUGAAAGUGGUAUAGGCUGAAUUUUACCAUUGACUCAGAUGACUUGAUUUUAGUGCAUUCUCUUUUUCUUAUUACUUUGUUGAAUGACACAGAUUUGGUAGCCUAUCGUUUGGCAUGGCUUUUCUAAGGUGUUAACUAAAGCUGUUCACUACUGUGCUAGGAGGUGUCAAGCAUAUCAUGCUUCUUGAUUCUCCAUCAUACGUUCUGUUGAAUCAAAAUUUGUUAUUUUAAAUUUUUUACUACAAAGAUCUCUAUAAGCUCAUAUAAUUAAAGGUAAAUCCUUAUGCUAGAGUUGAAAUAUGCAUCUUCAAAUGCAUUCAGCUAGACACGAGUUCUUUGGCUUCAAGUUGGAUCAACUGAUCAUUAGUUUGUAUAUAAAGCAUAUGUAUAAUCUGACUUUGCUAUUAUCUCAGUAUCAAGGUAUAUAUUUUGUUUGCAUCAUCAUUCCUGCUCAUUCAAAAUUUUCAUAUCUGUUGGUACACUUAACCUUGAUCUUUUGGUUAACUGCAGUUUCAUUUCGUCCCGAAGCACAUUCUUAUUUCCUAUCAUGCACCAGAGAUGAUAUGAUACUAUGCUUGAGGACAAAUGAUGUUUGAUAUGAUAGUUGUUAUUUCAGCAUGUGAAUAAAAUCUGCAGAAUGUAAAUUUAGAAAUGUUUGAAGUAUUUUAAGAGUUAGUUACUGAUUCA